CUGAUAGCUUUAUGGAGCCAACGUAUAUUUGUAAACAAUGAUUUAAUGAGGGACAUUUAUUUGCGACAGUUUUCUCCUUUUAUUUAAAUUUUAAUAGAUAAAAAAAUGAGAUAAAUAAUUCCAGUUAUUGGAAAUCUCUCUAGAAUAUUCUAUUUAUAACAAAUGUGACCAAAUAAAGAAUUGUCUCAAUUUGAAAGCAUUAAACGAUAUUAAUUUACAAGUGAUGUGAGCAAUUGAAAGAUACUUCUGCGUGUACACGCGUUUUUCUACCGUACUUCAAUAUAUAUAUA